rnacentral:rRNA from 1 species
AGCAGCCGCGGUAAUUCCAGCUCCAAUAGCGUAUAUUAAAGUUGUUGCAGUUAAAAAGCUCGUAGGUGAAUUUCGGGAUCAAUAUGCCGGUCAUGCCUUGGUAUGCACUGGUAUCUUUGAUUUCUCCCUUCUGACGAACUUUGAUGUCAUUAAUUUGGUGUCAUAGGGAAUCAGGACUGUUACUUUGAAAAAUUAGAGUGUUUAAAAGCAAGCUCACGCUUGAAUACAUUAGCAUGGAAUAAUGAAAUAGGACGUUUGAUUCUAUUUUGUUGGUUUCUAGGAUCGACGUAAUGAUUAAUAGGGAUAGUUGGGGGCAUUAGUAUUCAAUUGUCAGAGGUGAAAUUCUUGGAUUUAUUGAAGACUAACUACUGCGAAAGCAUUUGCCAAGGAUGUUUUCAUUAAUCAAGAACGAAAGUUAGGGGAUCGAAGACGAUCAGAUACCGUCGUAGUCUUAACCAUAAACUAUGCCGACUAGGGAUCGGAUGAUGUUAAUUUUUAANGA